rnacentral:lncRNA from 1 species
GUUUGAAACAUGCAUGCUUCAAAUGUGGGACAAUUUCGUCACAAAUGAAUGUAAUAUCAUCCACAACACAAUCACCAAAAAACCAAUUGUUGUGAGCAACAGAUUAAGAGUAAUUUCUUUCAAUGGUAAAUUGACUCCUUGUACACAAUCACACUGACAUGUUUCAAAACUCUACAUGCAAAAACUCAAUUCACUCUCUAUUUAGGUAUAUCCGUCUCUACAAAAAUCAACUCAUCAAUACUCAUUAAUCCCCCAUUUGAGCAAGUUCUUGAACUAAAGCACUAGUACAUUCUUUCACCUUUCCACUUACAUACUUACAUCUAUUGUAAUUAUUACUCUUAAUUUUCUUAUUUACUUUUAACAAUUUCAUUUUCACAUCAACAUCAGGUUAGAGGACAACAUGAGCACAAUAAAUGACAUCGUGACAAGAAAGGCGUAUAUCUUCCCCACAUCCACCACAAUUUCUUGCCCACCAGAGGAAAAGUUAGUCAAUAUCAAAUAGCUUCAACAAUUCCAACAUAUGGUACACCAAAUCACCACACCUUCUCACUUACAUUUUACAUCUAUCCCCAACUUAUAUUUUUCUUAAACACGUUAUUAUACACAUUACAUCAACGACACUUCUGGACAAGAACAAAUGUCACAUUGGCUGAAAUUAACCAACCACUAUGGUGUCUAUCAUAUGACAAUUGCAACAAAUUUGCAAGUGCAGCUGUGAACGAAACUUAUUUUUGUAGAUUCUGCAAGCACAACUAUGCUACACCGACUCCAAG